UACAGAGGUGGCAAGCGUUGCUCGGUAUCACUGGGCUUAAAGGGCGCGUAGGCGGUGCGGUACGGUUUCGGUGAAAUCCCUCGGCCCAACCGAGGAACAGCCGGAGCUACGGCCGGACUAGACGGCAUCAGGGGACAGUGGAACUCCCGGUGGAGCGGUGAAAUGCGUAGAUAUUGGGAAGAACACCUGAGGCGAAGGCGGGUUGCUGGGCUGAUACUGACGCUGAGGCGCGAAAGCCAGGGGAGCAAACGGG
rnacentral:rRNA from 1 species